rnacentral:rRNA from 1 species
UGCAGUCGAGCGAACUGAUUAGAAGCUUGCUUCUAUGACGUUAGCGGCGGACGGGUGAGUAACACGUGGGCAACCUGCCUGUAAGACUGGGAUAACUUCGGGAAACCGAAGCUAAUACCGGAUAGGAUCUUCUCCUUCAUGGGAGAUGAUUGAAAGAUGGUUUCGGCUAUCACUUACAGAUGGGCCCGCGGUGCAUUAGCUAGUUGGUGAGGUAACGGCUCACCAAGGCAACGAUGCAUAGCCGACCUGAGAGGGUGAUCGGCCACACUGGGACUGAGACACGGCCCAGACUCCUACGGGAGGCAGCAGUAGGGAAUCUUCCGCAAUGGACGAAAGUCUGACGGAGCAACGCCGCGUGAGUGAUGAAGGCUUUCGGGUCGUAAAACUCUGUUGUUAGGGAAGAACAAGUACGAGAGUAACUGCUCGUACCUUGACGGUACCUAACCAGAAAGCCACGGCUAACUACGUGCCAGCAGCCGCGGUAAUACGUAGGUGGCAAGCGUUAUCCGGAAUUAUUGGGCGUAAAGCGCGCGCAGGCGGUUUCUUAAGUCUGAUGUGAAAGCCCACGGCUCAACCGUGGAGGGUCAUUGGAAACUGGGGAACUUGAGUGCAGAAGA